AUUUUUCCUUCUUCUCUCGUCUCUGCCUCUCACUCUUCUCUCGUCACUCUUCUUUCGUCACUUCAUCUCUCCAAAAACGAGAGCAUAAUAAUGGAGAAAUCACGUAUCAAAGUCAACAUUUAUCCUCUCAAAUCCAAGUUCUCUGGCUUGGCAUUCGAUCUUGGCCCAAGUAAUACCUUCUCUCUCUCAAAAUUCAUUUAUUUAUUUGAGAUUGAAGCAGUGUAAGCCUUUGAUUUUUUUUAUUAUUUAUUAUUAUUAUUAUUUUUUUUACGUUUAUCUAUUGUUAACAGUUUAAUUUUUUGAAAUAUUAGUUGACUCAUGAAAACUUUCUCCUUUUUCUCGAAAAGUUAGUGCGAGAGCAAAAUUGUAUAACUUCAUUCAUUUCUUGUGGUUCAACGAAGCACUUGUUGGAGACUGGCAGGUUCACCUAGAACCGAUUAUACCCAUUUUAAUGUUGUUUUAGUUUGAAACCCUUUUUUCUAAUCUAUUAACAUAUUUUAGUUUUUUUUUAACCACUGUCUCAAUCAACUCCUAUUAGACACUUUACUUUUUUUCGAAUAAUGCCUAGACAUGUUGCUUUUCUUUCAGCUGAUGUUAUCAGAUAGAUGUUUGCUAAGGUGUUUUGUCAUUUUGUUCAGUUUAUUAUUGACUUUGCCAGCUAUUUUUGAAUUUGAUAGUCAACGUUUUAGUUAUUAGUUCUUAAUGAUGAAUUUUAGUAAUAUGCUUAACGAUGUGAUUGAAGGGUAAUGUUAGCUGGUUCUGCGGUAUCUUGAUUUCUGCAUCUUCCAUAGAUAGUUUGGAUUAUGUAGACAUGAUAUGAGGCCUUCUAGACCAGCGAUAUUAAAAUGCUAUCAAUCAUAAUACCUAGUGAGUUCUCUGUUUCUUCCCUGCCUUUUCUUAAAGGUUGAACUCCAACCUUAAUGGUCCCCCAUCGCUCCACCCCUGGAGCAUCGUGAAAGAGGUUAAUCGCGGGAUGUACCCUAACAGGCUAGUGAACAAGAGCUGCCUGUACACUGGUGUCCACCAAGAGUCCCAAUCCAUAUUUCAGGAAUCGAACCCUCACACUGCAGCUGUCAGCAAGGUUGAGUAAACCUCACCCUUGUUCUUUGCACCAUUGGGAUAUGUCUCGGGGGCCGCCUUUUCUUACUUUUAAGCUAGCCCAGACAUGCUUUAUAUGUGAGCAUAAUCUUAAGACUUGUUAAUUGAUAAACUAUUUAUUCUAUACUUGGAUAUCUCCUUGGCCAUGUUUAAAAUUGAAGCUUAAGGUUGAACUUAAGGAAUGGAACUCUAACUUUCACGUACACAAUCAGAUAGUACAGAACCACCUAAAAUGCUAUUUAGCUUGACAGGAGGACACCAUUGUGUCUGAGAAGAGGAUUAGGAAUGCAAAUAAAAAAAAAGAGUUGGUUUGUUGUGUAUAUGAUUGUGAGACCUAGAUACUCUAGGACCAUGCCUGUAGAAGAAUGAAAUUGAGGAUUCAUAGGCAGUGGCAUUCAUAACACAAGUAUUUAGAUUUGGUUUGAAUUUUUUGGGUAUUUUAACUACAUUUUUUGUUUGGCAUUUUGAUAUUAGCUCAAAUUUGAGUUCUGAAAUAUGUUUAAUUUAAACUAAUUAAUUGAAAUAGCAGUUUGAUGUUUGUAUUUGUCAACUUGAAGGGACCUUCAUAAUUUUUGUUCGCAAAAGUUACAUUUUUAUCAUAUAAUGAUAAGCCAUUCCAUGUAACUCUUUGAACAUUAGUAUAUGAAUUCGAAUUAAAUAUUUGUGUUGCGAUGUUUAUUGUUUUUCUGCUAUCUGAGUACUGCCUGUUGUGUUUUUGUAUGUCCAUGAAAAGGAUAUUUUGUGUCCUCUCUUUAUCUCUCCAUCUCCACAUAUACACAAAGCACAUAUGCUUAUAUAUUUUUAAUUUGGUAUAGUUUGUGUUGUGUCGAGACAGGACGAGUCAGGGGAAAUGUGGUGAGAGUUCAGAAGGGUUGAGAUUACCACUGAGUUGUCUGAAGCAGGGAGGUCGAAGUCACUGGAAGGGGUAUCUACUGUGCAGCAGCAGCAGUGCUAGCCUGGGAAAACAUUGAUGGAAUGGAGGUAGUUCGAGCAGUUGGAAAAUGGGAUCCCUUCAACCUGCCCCCUUAUUGGGACAUCAGCGAUGACGAAGGUGGUAUGCCAUUUGUCCCCUUCAGGAUAAUUGGAGACGAUAUAUUGGGAUCGACCACAAUGAUUUACACACAGAAUUCUAACUAUUCCAAAGAUGAGGAGACAUUAUCCGUGGUUAGACAUUAUCCAUUUAGUAUGUUAAUAGUGGUUUCAAGUUAGUUUGAUGAAAUGGAUUUGCAAGAAAAGGAUGUUCAAUCUAUUUCCAUUUUUUAUUUUGUAUGGUUUAAAAGUACUAAUGAAAUUUUAAUCUCAAUUUCAU
rnacentral:lncRNA from 1 species